CGGGUUGCUUGAGAGUGCAGCCCUAAGCGGGUGGUAAACUCCAUCUAAGGCUAAAUACGACCACGAGACCGAUAGCGAACAAGUACCGUGAGGGAAAGUUGAAAAGAACUUUGAAGAGAGAGUUCAAGAGUACGUGAAACCGUUCGGGGGUAAACCUGAGAAACCCGAAAGGUCGAAGGGGGAGAUUCAAACGCCUGGCCGGUGGCGGCCGCGCGUCGGCUCUCGGGACGGCCGCCGGUUCGCCGGCGAUCGCCCGGUCGGCGCGCGCCCAGUCCGUCGCCGGAGGUGUGCACUUCUCCCCUUGUAGGACGUCGCGACCCGUCAGGUGCCGGUUCAAGGCCCGCGAGGUAGACCGCCGCCGCGAGCUCGCUCGCGGCACGGACCCGCGGUGACCCGACCGGCCGCCAGACGGUAAGCACUAGCAGGCGGUGGGUCGCUGCGUCCAAGCAGUGAGCGUCCGGGCCGCGGCAAGUGGACGUGCGCGCGUCGGAAAUCGGACCCGGUCCGGUUCCGCGCCCUCGUCGCUGUUGGCCGCGCGCUCCCCGGACCGACCCCGCUCGCCCGUCGGCGACGCUUCAGCUUUGGGUACUUUCAGGACCCGUCUUGAAACACGGACCAAGGAGUCUAGCAUGUGCGCGAGUCAUUGGGAACACAUAAACCUAAAGGCGCAAUGAAAGUGAAGGUCAGCCUCGAGCUGACCGAGGGAGGAUGGGUGGCGUCCUCGCACCGUCUCCCCGCACUCCCGGGGCGUCUCGCACUCAUCGCGAGGCGAGGCGCACCACGAGCGUACACGCUGGGACCCGAAAGAUGGUGAACUAUGCCUGGUCAGGACGAAGUCAGGGGAAACCCUGAUGGAGGUCCGUAGCGAUUCUGACGUGCAAAUCGAUCGUCGGAACUGGGUAUAGGGGCGAAAGACUAAUCGAACCAUCUAGUAGCUGGUUCCCUCCGAAGUUUCCCUCAGGAUAGCUGGCACUCGAUCGAGCGUCGAACGAGUCUCAUCCGGUAAAGCGAAUGAUUAGAGGCAUUGGGGUCGAAACGGCCUCAACCUAUUCUCAAACUUUAAAUGGGUGAGAUCUCCGGCUUGCUUGACCAGUGAAGCCGGAGAUCGGAUCAGGGUGCCAAGUGGGCCACUUUUGGUAAGCAGAACUGGCGCUGUGGG
rnacentral:rRNA from 1 species